rnacentral:rRNA from 1 species
GACGAACGCUGGCGGCGUGCUUAACACAUGCAAGUCGAACGGUAAGGCGCUGCAUUUGUGGGGUGCUCGAAUGGCGAACGGGUGAGUAAGAAGUGAGUAACCAGCCCCUGACUUUGGGAUAAUAUCUGGUAAAUGGGGUUAAUAAUAGCUAGUAACUCCUCCUGCAUGGUGGGGGUUGGAUAGUUUCGGCGGUUUGGGAUGGACGCGCGGCUUAUCAGCUUGUUGGUGGGGUAGUGGCUUACCACGGCUUUGACGGGUAGGCGGCCUGAGAGGGUGACCGCGCACAUGGGGACUGCGGGAGGGAGCAGUGUGCAACGGUGGGCAGCAGUGGGGAAUAUUGCGCAAUGGGGGGGAGCCUGAUGCGGCAACGCCGGGUGCGGGAUGACGGCCUACGGGUGGUGAACCGCUUUCGCCUGAUACGAAGCGUGAGUGACGUUAAUGGGUGAAGAAGCACCGGCUAACUACGUG